ACAAAUAUUCCAGAAGCAAUAAUAAUUUAAAAUACAGAAGAAGUAAAUCACAAAUCGAGGAUGUGCAUAUUAAACAACUAUUAACCUUGGGGAACUAAUCUAGGCGGCGGAUGAAUACAUGUGUAGAGCGGGACCACGAACGCAAGCACAGCCCAGCCAGAGGGAGAGAGACCGCCAUAAAGCGGCGUGAGGUACAAAUACAUUUUUAAACCCAGGGACUACAACUGUGGAUGAAGUGGAGUUGCUCAUGGUGAGACAUUGGAUGUGGCUAUGAAGGGGAUGCAAGUUGGCCUCCUGAUAGGCCAUGAAGGUGCUCUACAGGAUGCCUUUCCUCGGGAUAUCUUCAGUGUGGCAGUUGUGGUGGAGGAGACCAUUGUACUACACAACCUCAAAGAUGCGGCAUGCAGCUUUGCCAUGUUUAUGGGCAUCAUAUAUUGUGUGAAUCUUGAAUAUACACAAGCUAUGAAGUAUUCCUUUGAGUUUUUGCAGCGAGUGGUGAUGAAGGUCAAACCAGACCAAGCUUCUGCACGAAUACACGGGCUGAGAAACAAACU